rnacentral:tRNA from 1 species
GCCAAGUUGUGUGAGCGGUCUAAGCAGACGGAUUGCAAAUCCGUUACCGAAAGGUGGUCACUGGUUCAAAUCCAGUACUUGGCUCCA